rnacentral:rRNA from 1 species
GAUGUUGAGUUAAAUAUAAGUAUCGAUGAUAAUAUAGAAUAUAUGAUUAAGUAAUUAAAGGGAUUUUCAGGGAUGCCUAGCAAUAAUAAUAAAAAGGAAUACCAUAUGAUAGUAUAUCGAAUAAGUAAAUGAUAUACAUUCCUAAGGAAAACCAAUAAACGAAAUACGUUGGUAAGUAAAACAUUUUAGUACCAAUAGGAAAGGAAAUCAACCGAGACUCUGGAAGUAAUGGUGAGUGAAACCAGAUUUAGCCAAUUUUCUUUGGGAUACUCGAAUAUUUUGGAAUAAAUACAAGGAGUAUGUAAAUGUAUAUUUGUGUAUCUCUACCAUAGAAAGUGAAAGUCUUUUCUAAGUAUAUCCAGAAAAAAGAAGAAAGUAAAAUGAGGACGUCUGCCUUGUUUAAACAUUCGCUAUAUGGAUUAAUUCAUAUAGUAGGGGGUACCAUCCUCCAAGGCUAAGUAUAUUAUUAUUAGCGAUAGUGAAGAGUAGCGUAAGCGAAAGGUGAAAAGAAAGUAAUAGACUAGUGAAAAGACCUGAACUGGGAUUCCUAUAAGCAGUUGGAGUUCAUUGAAUGACAACGUACCUUUUGCAUAAUGGGUCAGCGAGUUACUUGAUAAAGCAAGGUGAGUAACCUUUUCGAGAGAGAAUCUAAUUUAUAAUUAGGACAGUUUUAUCAAGUAGACCCGAAGCUAAGUGAUCUUACCAUGAUCAGGCAAUAAGUGGCCGAACCUAUGAAUGUUGCAGAAUUCUGGGAUGAAUUGUGGUAAGGGGUGAAAGGCCAAUCUAACUUAGAUGAUAGCUGGUAUUCUACGAAACCUAUUUAAGUAGGGUAUACAAUAAAAAUAUUCUAUGUACAGCACUGAACAUCACGUUAUUUUAUAUUUACUAUAAAAGACUAUUUUAGGGGGGCCUACCGCUCUACCUUUGAUGAUUAACCUCGCAAGGAGAAUAGUUGUUGUUUUAUGCACAGUCUAUUCAUGAUAAGGUGGAUAGACAAAAGGGAAACAGCCCAGAACAUAAAUUAAGGUCCCAAAAUACUAUUUAGUGAAAAUAAGAAAGUUUUUCUCCUAAUACAGCCAUGAAGUAUGCAUGGAAGUUGCAAUCUUUUAGGGAAAGUGUAAUAACUCAAUGGUCUUAAUUGUUGCGAAAGUAAACAAUUAGGGAGAAAAGCGUCGACAAUUUACCGGGUCUAAAAUAGUAUACCUACAUUAUGUCUUUUUCUGAUCAAUACAGAAAUUGGGUAGUAGAACACUCUAUAUUCAUGUGAAGAUUGUAUUGCGUACAAUUGGAUGAUAUAGAAGAGAGAAUGCUGACAUGAGUAACGUAAAAGGGGUUAUAACACUCCUCGCCGAAAACGAAAGGGUUCUAUGGAAAAGUUAAUCUGCCAUAGCUUAUGCGAUCUCUAAGGAAAAUGCGAAUGCAGUAUCUGAUGAGUAUAAAAGAAAUGAAUUACUUGCAAAAGUACAGGAAAAGUCUUCUUUAUUAAAUUAAUUUUAUAAAAUAAAAUUGAGAUUUAAUGAAUCGUACCCUAAACCGACUUUGGUUCGUAGGUAGAGAAUACUAAGGCGUAGAGAUAAUGCUUGUGAAGGAACUCGGCAAACUAUAUCCGUAAGUUCGACGAUAAGGAUAACCGAAGUUUUUCUUAGGAAAAAUGGAGUGACACAAAAUCGGGGGCUGCGACUGUUUACCAAAAACACAGCAACUUGCUAAGACCAAAAGUACUUGUAUAAGUUGUGAACUCUGUCCAAUGCCACGUCCUGUAAAGAGACAGAUUUUCUUUAACCAGAAAAGUUUGAAUCUGAAAGGUGGUCAAUGACGGUCUUAACUAUAAGGAUCUGAAAGUAGCAAAAUUCCUUGGCUAUUAAAUGUAGUCCUGCAUGAAUGAGGUAACGUGGUCCUCCUGUCUCCACAAGCAUCUCAGUGAAAUUGAAUUAGCCGUGCAGAUGCGGUUUAUCUUCAGUUAGACGGGAAGACCCCGUGCAGCUUUACUGUAAUCUGAUAUUGAUUUUGUACAUUUAGAGGUGUAGAAUACAAGGGAGAGUUUAUCGUCCAUGAAAUACCUUGACUCUAAAAGUAUAUUAUCGAUAGAACUUUUUAUCAUUAAAAGGACAGUGUCAGAGGGUCAGUUUGACUGGGGCGGUCGCCUCUAAUAAAAUAUCAGAGGUCUUCUAAGGUAUAUCAUACAUUAGUCAGAAACUAAUCGACCAUGAACGGUUGUCCAAAGUGGAAUAACAUAAAUAUGCCUGACUGCAAGACUGACAAGUCAAGCAGAUACGCAAGUAGGAUAUACUGAUCCGGUAGCAAUUUAUUUUAACAUAAUAAAAAUAAUCAUUAUGGAAUGGCUAUCGCUCAAGGGAUAAAAGCUACGCCGGGGAUAACAGGUUUAUCGUUUGCGAGAGUUCAUAUUGUCCAAACGGUUUGACACCUCGAUGUCGACUCAUCUCAUCCUCCGGGUGUAGAAGCUCGGAAGGGUUCAGCUGUUCGCUGAUUAAAGAGGUACGCGAGUUGGGUUCAAUACGACGUAAGUCAGUAUGGUUCCUAUCUUCUGAAGACACAAAUUGUUGAAAGAGACUCUCUUACUAGUACGAAAGGACCAUAAGGGAUGAUUCAAUAAUGUACCUAUUGUUAGAUUUAGUACAAAAUACUAAAAUAUAGCACAGUAGGGUAGUUACAAUCAUUAUAGAUAAGUGCUGAAAGCAUAUUAAGCACGAAUCCUCUCUCCGGAAACAAACAGAAAUAAGAAAUAGACUAUUUCUUUAUAAUCCACUAAUUUACAAAAUUAGAAAUAGGACGUAUAUGUACGUAUAGCAAUAUAUUUAGUAUAACGUUACUAAU